rnacentral:miRNA from 1 species
UUCUUGUGGAUUCCUUGGAAA